rnacentral:rRNA from 1 species
UAGCCAGACUCCUACGGGAGGCAGCAGUGGGGAAUAUUGGGCAAUGGGCGCAAGCCUGACCCAGCAACGCCGCGUGAAGGAAGAAGGCUUUCGGGUUGUAAACUUCUUUUGUCAGGGACGAAGCAAGUGACGGUACCUGACGAAUAAGCCACGGCUAUCUACGUGCCAGCAGCCGCGGUAAUACGUAGGUGGCAAGCGUUGUCCGGAUUUACUGGGUGUAAAGGGCGUGUAGCCGGGUUGACAAGUCAGAUGUGAAAUCCUGCGGCUUAACCGCAGAACUGCAUUUGAAACUGUUGAUCUUGAGUACUGGAGAGGCAGACGGAAUUCCUAGUGUAGCGGUGAAAUGCGUAGAUAUUAGGAGGAACACCAGUGGCGAAGGCGGCCUGCUGGACGAUGACUGACGUUGAGGCUCGAAAGCGUGGGGAGCAAACAGGAUUAGAUACCCUAGUA